rnacentral:rRNA from 1 species
AUUGAACGCUGGCGGCAGGUCUAACACAUGCAAGUCGAACGAGUGGCGGACGGGUGAGUACUGUCUGGGAAACUGCCUGAUGGAGGGGGAUAACUACUGGAAACGGUAGCUACUACCGCAUACCAUCAGCUUUGCCCAGAUGGUAUUAGCGAGUUGGGGGGGUAACGGGUCACCAAGGCGACGCUCCCCAGCUGGUCGGAGAGGAUGACCAGCCACACUGGAACUGAGACACGGUCCAGACUCCGACGGGAGGCAGCAGUGGGGAAUAUUGCACAAUGGGCGCAAGCCUCAUGCAGCCAUGCCGCGUGUAUGAAGAAGGCCUGCGGGUUGUAAAGUACUUUCAGCGGGGAGUCGUUACCCGCAGAAGAAGCACCGGCUAACUCCGUGCCAGCAGCCGCGGUAAUAC